ACCACCAAGAUUAACUCAAAAGUAUAGAUAAUUUAGCAUUAAAUGAAUAACAAAACUAAAUCAUUUUUCCACCUUAGUACGGGAGACGGAAAAGGUAAUUUAAGCAAUAGAGAAAGUACCGCAAGGGAAAGCUGAAAGAGUAAUGAAAUAAUUCAUUUAAGCACAAAAAAGCAGAGCUUAACCCUUGUACCUUUUGCAUCAUGAUUUAGCCAGCACUACUCAAGCAAAGUGACCUUUAGUUUGAAACCCCGAAACCAAGUGAGCUACCCCGGGACAGCCUUAAAGGACGAACCCGUCUCUGUGGCAAAAGAGUGGGAAGAGCCCCGGGUAGAGGUGAUAAACCUACCGAACUUGGUGAUAGCUGGUUGCCUGAGAAAUGAAUAGAAGUUCAGCCUCGUAUCCCUUUAGCCAACCAAGAAAUAUCUGAAUAAGCACAAAAGAGAAAUACGAGAGUUAGUUGAAGGGGGUACAGCCCCUUUAAUAAAGGACACAACCUUAAAUAGGUGGAUAAGAGUCACACUUUAUAAAACUAGUUGUUCCAGUGGGCCUAAAAGCAGCCAUCUGAGUAGAAAGCGUUAAAGCUUAAACAACAUGCAGUUUAUUAUACUGAUAAAUAACCCAACUCCCCUAAAAAUAUCAGGCCAUUCCAUGCCACCAUGGAAGAGACCAUGCUAAAAUGAGUAAUAGGAGGAUAUGAUCCUCUCCUAGCACAAGUGUAAGCCAGAUCGGACAAACCACUGGAAAUUAACGAGCCCAGAAAAAGAGGGUAAUGUGGCCAACAAAAAAAUCAGGAAAAUACCACAGCAUUUAUAUCGUUAAACCCACACUGGAGUGCCUCCAAGGAAAGACUAAAAGAAGGGGAAGGAACUCGGCAAACACAAGCCUCGCCUGUUUACCAAAAACAUCGCCUCCUGCAAAUCCCUACGUAUAGGAGGUCCAGCCUGCCCGGUGACUACAAGUUUAACGGCCGCGGUAUUUUGACCGUGCAAAGGUAGCGCAAUCACUUGUCUUUUAAAUGAAGACCUGUAUGAAUGGCUAAACGAGGGCUUAGCUGUCUCCCUUUUCAAGUCAGUGAAAUUGAUCUACCCGUGCAG
rnacentral:rRNA from 1 species